AUACGUAGGGGGCGAGCGUUGUCCGGAAUGAUUGGGCGUAAAGGGCGCGUAGGCGGCCCGAUAAGUCUGGAGUGAAAGUCCUGUUUUUAAGAUGGGAAUUGCUUUGGAUACUGUCGGGCUUGAGUGCAGGAGAGGUAAGUGGAAUUCCCAGUGUAGCGGUGAAAUGCGUAGAGAUUGGGAGGAACACCAGUGGCGAAGGCGACUUACUGGACUGUAACUGACGCUGAGGCGCGAAAGUGUGGGGAGCAAACAGGAUUAGAUACCCUGGUAGUCCACACUGUAAACGAUGAAUGCUAGGUGUAGGGGGUAUCGACCCCUUCUGUGCCGCAGUCAACACAAUAAGCAUUCCGCCUGGGGAGUACGGUCGCAAGAUUAAAACUCAAAGGAAUUGACGGGG
rnacentral:rRNA from 1 species